AGACACCUGAACAGUUUGCCAGUGAAUCAGGGACUGUGUUCACUGAGAAAAGGAGGAUAAAGCUGACAUCUCUUGAUGACCUCAAGCAUUACUGGGUCAUCCGUCAUCGGAAAUUUGCAGAUAUAGCUGCAGAAAUGUGCGAUCUGCUGAUGUUUGUCGAGAUGCUGAAAGGAAUGCUUGCGCUUGAUCCUGAAAAACGGAUGACACCCAGUCAAGUGCUGGAGCAUGACUUCACAAAAAUGGUGCACAUAACGUGCUUGUACCACUACAGCUCCCAUGUAAAAUCCUGCUUUCAGAAGAUGGCCAUCUGUCAGAUGGUGACUUCAAAUAGUCGUGCAGCUUUGUGUGGGUCUUUGCAGCAAACCUGCUCCCGAACUAGCCAACCUGCCCGGCAAUGUCCUCCUCGCCCUCCA